rnacentral:lncRNA from 1 species
CCUGCCCUAUCCUUGCUCAGCCACUGCAGAAUGGUGCCCAUGCAGCACCAUGAAGCAGGAGCACUGUCCCACACCUCACUGACACCCAACUCCGGGAUGUCCUUCACUGAUGAGCAGCUCCCUGGAAAAACUUGGAGUGCAAGAGGAAAAGCAAAUUCACUGUGAUCCAGAAAGUUAUACUAUUAGACCUCUCAUGGGACAAAACAGUGACUUCAAAGGAUCGCUGCUCUUCACAGCUGUCUGAAUGAAGGACACAGAGAAGAUCAAGCCAGAUGAGAACUAGAGGUGCACAGUAGAACAAGAGGCAACAAACACAAGCUGGAACAGCAAGCAUCAGUGGUUGAUAAUGGAUGUAAUUUUUUCCACAUGAAGGAGUUCAGUCCCACACCUUUAAUUCAGACACGCUUCCGUGUCAGACAGCAGUUGGUCAGAGUGCCCCUCUGCUGCCAUCUGUAAUGUACAUUCCGUAUAACGGAAUAUUGACAGAAUGGCUCGACAUCUGUUGACAUACCGCCAACAUGUGACUCUGAUGCAAUGGGCCAAAACAAUAAAUUAGAAG